ensembl:lncRNA
AUGCCACAUUGUUUUACUUUCUAUAGCUUUAUAAUAAGUAUUGGUAUCUGAAAAGGUAAUAUCUUUCUAUACACUUUUUUUUCUUCUUUCUUAUGGUUUUCCAUCAAAAAAAUUGUCAGCUGUUCUUGACCCUUUAUUAUUUGCUUGAAGUUUAUGCUCAGCCUGUCAAAGCCCAGAACAAAGCAUGAAUGUGUAGAUUAGGGGGAAGAAUUGACCUCUUUAUGACACCGAGUCUUCCCAGCCAUGAGCAUGGUCUAACUCCCCAUUUAUUUAGGCCUUUUUCUUUUGGCCUCAGAUAGGUGUGUGGAAGUUCCUGGGUCAGGGAUCAAACCCAUGUCACAGCAGUGACCUGAGCCACAGUAGUGACCCAAGCCAGAGCAGUGGCAACACCAGAUCUUUAACCACGAGGACACCAGGGAACUCCUGGGUGUUCUUCAAUGUUACUAAGUAAUACAUUGUAAUAUUUUUCAUAAGUAUUUUCAUUAUCGUCCAUGUUGUAUUCCUAGGUUACUUUUGUAAAUGGAAAAAAAAAUUUCAUUUUAAUUGGUUGUUGCUUGUGUACUGGGAGGCCACUGAAUUUUUUAUUUUGCUCUAGUAACACACCAUCUUGCUGGACUCUUUUAUAAGCUUGAAUAGUUUGUGGAGUCUCUUGAAUGUUGUUUGGACAAUCCAAUUCUCUGGAAAUCAUGUUUUUUCCCUUCUAUUUCAUUUAUUUUUCCUACUUUUAGCUCUGGCUAAGACCUCUAGAACUGAGUUGGAUAGAAUCGGUAAUUGUGGCAUCCUUGUCAUGUUCCUGACUAAACAGAAUGUUUAUGUUUCCCUGAGUAUGAUAUUUGUGGUAUAUUUUUGAUAAAUAUCAAUUAUCAGCUGAAAAAUGCCUCUGGGUAUCAUGCUCUUGGGCGGGGCUGUCUUUAACCAUUGGGAUGUGGCAGAGUGAUGCUAUGUUAGGUCUUUUUUUUUUGUCUUUUGUCUUUUUAGGGUUGUACCUGAGGCAUAUAGAGGUUCUCUGGCUAGGGAUCUAAUCGGAGCUGUUACUGCCAGCCUAUGCCAGAGCCACAGCAACGCCAGAUCUACCCCGCAGCUCACGGCAACACCAGUUCCUUAACCCACUGAACAAGGCCAGGGAUCGAACCGCAACCUCGAGGUUCCUAGUCGGAUUUGUUUCCACUGCGCCAUGACAAGAACUCCUAUCUUCUGCUUUUAUACUCUUGGGUGCUCUGAACUUACAUGCAAGAAGUCUGGAUAUCCUGCUGGAAAGCCACAUGGAGAGGGGUUAGCCUUGAGACUACAUGGAAGAGAACUGAGUUGAGGGCAAGAAGGUUCCAGCAUAUAACCUUGAGUGUUCUAGCCAGCACCAGAAGUUUGAGCUAUAGUAGUACAGGUACUAGACAAGUGAGUGAAAAAACCCAUUUACCCCCAGAACUAUGAGCAAAUAAAAUGAUUGUUGCUUUAAGCGUCAAAUACGUUGGGUAUUCUGCUACAUAACAAGUGGUAACUGAAAUGUUAAUGAUAUCUUGAUCCUUAUACUGAAUUACGUGCCAUUCUUAUGCUUUAAUUCCAGUUUUCUCCCUGCUUGCCAAUCUUCCAUCCUGUGAUCUUUUUUGUGGUUCUGUAUUCCCUUUAA